GACGAACACUGGCGCCGUGCUUAACACAUGCAAGUCGAACGGAAAGGCCCUCCUUUUGUGGCUUUCUCGAUGGGCCAACGGGUUGUUAACACGUGAGUAACCUGCCUUUUACUUUGGGAUAACUUCAGGAAACUUGGACUAAUACCGGAUAGAUUCUCCUGCUUCAUGGUGGUGGUUUCAAAGUUUCGGCGGUUGGGUAUGGACUCGCUGAUUAUCAGCUUGUUGGUGGGGUAGUGGCUUACCAAGGCUUUGACGGGUAGCCGGCCUGAGAGGGUGACCGGCGCCAUUGGGACUGAGAUACGGACCAGACUCCUCAGGGAGGCAGUAGUGGGGAAUAUUGCACAAUGGGAGGAAGCCUGAUGCAGAAACGGCGCGUGCUGGAUUACGGCCGUCGGCUUGUCACCCGCUUUUGCAUGUGACGAAGGGUGAGUGAGGGUAAUGGGUAAAGCAGCCCCGGCUACCUCCGUG
rnacentral:rRNA from 1 species